GCUUCCGGCCGCGCGUUAGGUCGUGGGGCACCUAGGUCUGGGUCGUCGUUUGCGUCUGCACGUGUUCGCAGUCGUUUCCGCGAUGCUUCCUUUGCUGCGCUGUGUGUCCCGUGUGCUGGGCUCCUCCGUCGCCCGCCUCCGCGCUGCCGCGCCCGCCUCGCCUUUCCGGCAGCUCCUGCAGCCGGCGCCCCGGCUGUGCGCCCGGCCCUUCGGGCUGCUCAGCGUGCGCGCAGGUUCCGAGCGGCGGCCGGGCCUCCUGCGGCCUCGCGGACCCUGCGCCUGUGGCUGUGGCUGCGGCUUGCUGCACACCGAAGGAGACAAAGCUUUUGUUGAUUUCCUGAGUGAUGAAAUUAAGGAGGAAAGAAAAAUCCAGAAGCAUAAAACCCUCCCUAAGAUGUCUGGAGGUUGGGAGCUGGAACUGAAUGGGACAGAAGCGAAAUUAGUGCGGAAAGUUGCCGGGGAAAAAAUCACUGUCACUUUCAACAUUAACAACAGCAUCCCACCAACAUUUGAUGGUGAGGAGGAACCCUCGCAAGGGCAGAAGGUUGAAGAACAGGAGGUAAGCUUAACACUCAGCUUUUACCUCAGUUCUGACAGGCUGUCCCUGGGGCUUAUAGGAAGAAGCAUUUUUCUUUGCUCUUUCAAAAAAAAAAAAAAAUUCCUCUAAGGCCAGUCGCAUGGCUCACGCCUGUAUUCCCAGCACUUUGGGAGGCAGAUCACAAGGUCAAGAGAUCGAGACCAUCCUGGCCAACAUGGU
rnacentral:sRNA from 1 species